rnacentral:rRNA from 1 species
UACAGAGGGUGCAAGCGUUGUUCGGAAUUAUUGGGCGUAAAGGGCGCGUAGGCGGUGCUGUAAGUCUGUAGUGAAAUCUCUGGGCUCAACUCAGAGUCUGCUAUAGAAACUGCAGUGCUGGAGUGUGGGAGAGGUGAGUGGAAUUCCCGGUGUAGCGGUGAAAUGUGUAGAUAUCGGGAGGAACACCUGUGGCGAAAGCGGCUCACUGGACCACAACUGACGCUGAGGCGCGAAAGCUAGGGGAGCAAACAGG